GUGGGUAUAGCUCAGUUGUAGAGCACAUGCUUAGCAUGUGUAGGGUGCUGGGUUCAAUCCCCAGUACCUCCA
rnacentral:tRNA from 1 species